UUAAUUAAAACCAAAUAAGAGGUAUAUUACUGUUAAUAAUAUUAUUGAUAUAAAUAUCUAAUUAAA
rnacentral:tRNA from 1 species